rnacentral:rRNA from 1 species
UACAGAGGAGCCAAGCGUUGUCCGGAUUGACUGGGCGUAAAGCGCACGCAGGCGGAUGCGCGCGUGGGGUGUGAAAUCUGGCCGCUUAACGGCCAGGCGCCAUCCCAUACGGCGCGUCUGGAGCUAUGCAGAGGUCGGUGGAAUUGCCGGUGUAGUGGUGAAAUGCGUAGAUAUCAGGAGGAACACCGGUGGCGAAGGCGGCUACCUGGACAGAAACUGACGCUGAGGCGCGAAAGCGUGGGGAGCGAUCCGG